rnacentral:rRNA from 1 species
GGGCGCAAGCCUGAUGCAGCCAUGCCGCGUGUAUGAAGAAGGCCUUCGGGUUGUAAAGUACUUUCAGCAGUGAGGAAGGGGUGUACGUUAAUAGCGUGCAUCCUUGACGUUAGCUGCAGAAGAAGCACCGGCUAACUCCGUGCCAGCAGCCGCGGUAAUACGGAGGGUGCGAGCGUUUCGGAAUUACUGGGCGUAAAGCGCAUGCAGGUGGUUCGUUAAGUCAGAUGUGAAAGCCCGGGGCUCAACCUCGGAACUGCAUUUGAAACUGGCGGGCUAGAGUACUGUAGAGGGGGGUAG